rnacentral:rRNA from 1 species
GACGAACGCUGGCGGCAGGCCUAACACAUGCAAGUCGAACGAGUGGCGGACGGGUGAGUAAUGUCUGGGACACUGCCAGAUGGAGGGGGAUAACUACUGGAAACGGUAGCUAAUAACGCAUACCAUCGGAUGUGCACAGAUGGGAUUAGCUAGUAGGUGGGAUAGCGGCUCACCCAGGCGACGAUCCCUAGCUGGUCUGAGAGGAUGACCAGCCACACUGGAACUGCGACACGGUCCAGACUCCUACGUGAGGCAGCAGUGGGGAAUAGUGCACAAUGGGCGCAAGCCUGAUGCAGCCAUGCCGCGUGUAUGAAGAAGGCCUUCGGGUUGUAAAGUACUUUCAGCUAGGAGGCGUUACUCGCAGAAGAAGCACCGGCUAACUCCGUGCCAGCAGCCGCGGUAAUAC